GAGAGUGGCGAACGGGUGAGUAAUAUAUCGGAACGUGCCCAGUCGGUGGGGAUAACGUAGCGAAAGUUACGCUAAUACCGCAUACGAUCUACGGAUGAAAGCGGGGGACUCGCAAGAGCCUCGCGCGAUUGGAGCGGCCGAUAUCAGAUUAGGUAGUUGGUGAGGUAAAGGCUCACCAAGCCGACGAUCUGUAGCUGGUCUGAGAGGACGACCAGCCACACUGGGACUGAGACACGGCCCAGACUCCUACGGGAGGCAGCAGUGGGGGAAUUUUGGACAAUGGGCGCAAGCCUGAUCCAGCAAUGCCGCGUGCAGGAUGAAGGCCUUCGGGUUGUAAACUGCUUUUGUACGGAACGAAACGGUGAGCUCUAAUACAGUUUGCUAAUGACGGUACCGUAAGAAUAAGCACCGGCUAACUACGUG
rnacentral:rRNA from 1 species